rnacentral:rRNA from 1 species
UACGUAGGGUGCAAGCGUUGUCCGGAAUUAUUGGGCGUAAAGAGCUCGUAGGCGGUCUGUCGCGUCUGCUGUGAAAACCUGGGGCUUAACCCCGGGCCUGCAGUGGGUACGGGCAGACUAGAGUGCGGUAGGGGAGACUGGAAUUCCUGGUGUAGCGGUGAAAUGCGCAGAUAUCAGGAGGAACACCGGUGGCGAAGGCGGGUCCCUGGGCCGUAACUGACGCUGAGGAGCGAAAGCAUGGGGAGCGAACAGG